UACAAAACCACUAACAGCACUACACAAAUAUCAGACAGUGCAUGGGUAUAUAGCUCAUACACACUCACAAGACCCUUUUAUCAUAUGCAAGAAUGCUUGUAUGUAAAUGGUAUUAAUGGUUUAGGGUCAUGAAUGGUGUAACAGGGUCUCUCAGCAUCGAUAACACUCCUGAAGAUUAACUUGCUGAUUCUGCACGAAAGUAUCAGUCAGAGGAAUGGACAGCAUUUCUAGCUAGGAUCACAGAUAAUGCUAUAGGCCUACCAUAAUAGAUCUGGAAAUGUAGUUACAGAUUUAAUCUGAGAAUCCAUGAAGUUAAAGGUUUAGCUGGGCGUAGCCUGGCACCCGUUCCCAACGGGUGGCCGGGGGACAUGCUUAUAUAGGAUUUGUACUGCUGCACUGAGGAGUGCAGCCCAAUCAGAUUGCAGUAUUUUUAAAAUAACGAUAUUCAUAACCGGAUGUGUGGUUUAUAAUUUUAUUCAUGAUGCUUACAGAGCAGUAUUGCAUAACACAGCAGAACAAAUCCUACAUAACGUGUCCCCCGGCCACCUGUUGGGAACGGGUGCCAAGCUACACCCAGCUAGUAAAGGUUCUUGUGAGUACUUAUGGAGCAUGACCUUUGACCCCACUGUCUGAUAUUUGUGUACAUGUAGUGUAGUUAGUGAUUUUGUAACUGCUGUCAUGCGUAGGAUACAUGUAGCUUUUUUGUUUUGUGAAAUGUUGUAGGGGAGACUUUUAGCUACCAAAAGCACCUUAAAUCUUGUGGCUCUGCCUCUUCAGUGAUUCGUAGGUUCCUGUGUCUGAUAUUAUGUUUAUUUUGUCUGAUUAAUCAAUAUAUCAGACACGACCACAUUUUGGUGUACAUUUCAUGCAUAUUUUAGAAUUGGGCUAUCCUUUUUUGAGGUUAUGUUGUUAAUAGGUGGACCUAUUGUCGGGUUAAAAAUCAGCUUGUUUCGCCGACCCGUUCUCCUCUGGCAGCUGUCUGAUUAUAAUUUAUGUUCUGUCUGAUAAUUGAUACUUUACUCUAGUAGCUUUAUGUUAUGUAGCUUUGGCACCUUCACCGAGGCAUCAGCACCCACGAUGCUUUCAUUAUGCCUCGAGGCGUAGCCGCACGAGGGAUAUGGUAAAGCUGACUGUGUGUGUGUGUGUGUGUGCAUGUGUGUGUGUAUUCCAGCUGUAAUUUAUCAACUGUUGCAAUGCGACGAAAACUAACAGCUUCUAUAUAGGCUUCUAUAGCCACGUUCUCUUGGAUUUUGAUUCGUGGAUUAGCAAACUAAAGCUUCUUUCUCGAGUUAUGGCUAGUUUGACUCACAUUGAAGGCUGUUGCAGUCUCUUCAGAUUCUUUUGUAGCAUCAUUUGUUCGCACAAACCUUUCUAUGCAACUUAUGAGUUAGCCUUGCACUAAAGCGCUAGCUUUUUAAUAGCUACAAGAGUCAGAAAAGAGCUGUUAAGAAGCUCAGUAUCUCACUUAGUAGCCACAGGAGUGCCAUUAUUAAUUUUUGUGAACUUGCAGACACACCCCUUAUUCCUAGAUCUAAUGCGCAUGCGCUCAUCAUCACCACAUGUGAGAGAAUCCAGGCAGAAUCAAUUCUUUUUGAGGUCCUGGUAAGCCACAAACACUACAAUUAUACCAGAAUACAGUAGAUGCAUGUACACAAUAUAUAGCCUCGAUCCCAGGCCGAGUUUUCGCUUUUAUAACGGUUAGGCGAACAACUGGGCCUGGUACUAGUUGUCUGCGCAUGCGUCAGUCGUUCGUCAGAUUCUGACGAAUAGAUAUUCUCGUUCACUUUCGUGACAUUUAUAUUCGUGUACUAUCGUGUACUAGAAGUCAGUUCCCGUUUUAUCAUUAUUGGAAUCGAUUGGAAUGGCUCUUAGCUGAAGCUUCUCUCUUCUCUGAAGCUUAUUCUGAAGACUGAACAACAAGGGAAGAGGUAUAAAGCUUUGUCAAGCUUGUUAAGGUCAGAUAUUUUUGUGUGGGCCCUAUGGCUAUGCUAUCAAGUCUUGUUCAUGUUUGGCAAGAUCUACCGGUAGGUAGACUAUAGUUUCAUCAUUAAUAUGGUGGAUCAAGUGAAGAGUGUGAGCUAGAGAACUUGGUGCUGCCAUCAUCAGCUCGUCGACAAUGACACUAUAACACGAGAAAUUUAAUAUGUAUAGAUCUACACGUAUUUAGAAUGUCUACUUCUCUGUACAGGAGCAAUGGCUAAUAUCCAGCUAUCCCAACAGUGCUCCUCUUGGCUAUACUAACGGACGAGACUGGACAGUUUGAGGACUGGAGUAUGACCUGCUCAUUCGAGCGUUGCUGGGUAGCUCAGAGACAUCAAGAGAAUCUACGUUUUCUCAAGCAAAAUUUAACUGAGUUACGAGUUGGGGCCUAGAAUCAGAGAAGUCCAGCAGCCUGGUAAAUCUUUUUGAAACGUAAUUUGAAGGCAUUCAAUCAUCCUGAAGUUUCCCUGGCUCACUGUAAUUGUGCUGCAGCACAACUGGCAACUCCCCAGGCCUUUGUGAAGCAGCUCCCUAUGUGCAUCUUUUGUGUACUCCCUAUGUGCAUCUUUUGUGUACUCACUCUGUGCAUUUUCUGUGUACAAAUUUCGAUUAUUGAUUUAUUAAAUAUUUUUGCCGACCACAAA